CUCUCUCUCUCCUCUCUCUCAUCCCCCCAAAUCAGAGGGUAGCGGCGGUGGCUCCCCUGACCACGGCGUGGAUCUGCAUCAGGCGGCCAUGCAAGCGCCUCCUCACCGACCGGCGGCAGCGCAGGCGCACCCUCUCCGACGCACUGAAAUUUGUUGGCGAGUACGAGCCAUUCACCCUUACGUACAGAGAUGAGUUUCUUCUUCUCCUUUCGAUCCACUUUUAUUCAGCCCCUUCCCUCUCCGAAGUCCCCUCUUUUAUUUUUUUCCUUGUUUGUCUUGAUUUCUCCCUGCCGUAAGUAGAUGUAGACAUGCAGCAUCCAGCAGUUCUAGUGUUAGUCCUGCUCUUUCAUGGCCGCCUGAUUACUGUAGUCCCCAUCCAUGGCCGCCUGGUUAUGCAGUUCACUGCUAUUCUUGGCGGAUGGUGUGAAUGGACAUGCAGCCUCUCCACUCAAUCUUUAGCCGAUGGCCCUUUGGAUUAGGAUUCUUUGUAUCAUAAAUAUGUUUGGAUUUAGUUACUAGUACUUCCCUAGUUUUGUAUCACGUUUUCUGAAAAUCAUCCUUACCAGAUUCUAAAAGCUAGUUCUAUCAGUGUGCAUGGUUUUAGCAAUUUUGUUAAUAGUGCCAGAACCAAUAUUCUAAAUGAUACCGUAUUUUAGAUCCAGCACAAUACAUGCUCCUGUGCAUGCUACUUAAUUAUUAUAACUUUGUUUGUCGUAAAUCAGAGAGGAGUUUAUGAUAUUUUUUUGCCUGAAUCAGACUCACAAGUUUAGGAAGACCAUGGAUUUUUUAUGGUAAUUUUACCAGAUAAGUUAGUUAAUAGGUUACCUGAAUCAGUAUGUUUUAUUUUGCCGGUACAGGAACUCUUAUAGUGUUUGGCACACUUUUUUCACUUAAUCCAGCCCCACGUUGACAACGUCACACCCCGGAUGCUACAAAUGACCUGACAGAGGGCAUACUCUCCUAGAGUUUUGCUCUAACUCAUGAUGCCAAAAAUCAGUUAAAUAUGCCCUCUGUGCCGGAUUGUUAUUUGGAAUACUGGGUGUGACAUUGUCGUGAUGAAGCUAUCAGAGAUGUACUUUUCUGCAGAAUGAUUUCUUGUUUCGAUGACUUUAUCAUGUAAAUGUAAAUAUGUCAGAUAUCAGCUUACUGAUUCCACCUUUCUACUCACCAUUUCUUUGGCAUUGGAAUCAGGCAGCAAGAGAUUUCAGCUUAUUGAUUUGGCAGUAUAAUUUAUUUCUUGCAUAGUGCAGAUUAAAACCAGUAUAAUUUAUUCUCUUGGUGUGCUCUCACUUACUCAUAGUCGCAAUUUCAGUUCAUUAGAGCAGCCCCUCUAGGCACGGGCGAUAUGGUUACCACGUCAAUCUCAGCAGCAAAAUGGUGAGCAAAGGGCUUCCGGCUAGUGACACAACAAUAGGAUACAGCCAUGGAUAUCACUCAGGUUCUGCUAGAUGCUCAAUCUCCAGAUGCUAACCUUCGAACAGUAGGAGAAAGCAACCUCACACAGUUCCAGGAGCAGAAGCUUUAAGCUACGCUCAACUGUCUGUGUGACUCAGAUUUGAUGCAAACCGUGUUAUAAAAAAAGACAUGUUGUAAUUUGUUCAUUUCAAAUCAAUGUCUGUUCCAAUCUAUGUGUCCUAUCACUAUUGAUUAUACUUCUAUUCUGUACAGGCACUACUUUCUCAACUUGGGUAGCAGCAACAAUAAGAUCUGAAGCUUUCUGUACAAGUACCUGCAGAUGGUUUUGCUGUGAUCUUAGUGGCAAAUUGUUGUGAUAUUCACUGAACAGAAAUGGCAGUGCUGUUGCUGGUGGUUGCCUGUGGCCCUAGUUUAGUAGUGUUACUGUUGCUAGUGGUUGCCUAUGGCCCUAGUUUAGUAGUGUUACUGUGAAUUUGGUUGAGUUGUGAGUCAAGUACUGAUGUUAAGUACUGAUGUCCCUAGUUAUCUUGCUACUGAUGUCAAGUUAGUUGUGAGUCAAGUAAUGAUGUUAAGUGAGUUAUGCAAUAACUUAUGUUGCCACUUUGUGGAAUCUUUUAGUCAUUUCAAUGUUAUUAAAAAAAUGCAUUUUUCAUUCC